GACGAACGCUGGCGGCGUGCUUAGCACAUGCAAGUCGAACGGAAAGACCCUGCUUUUGUGGGGUGCUCGAGUGGCGAACGGGUGAGUAACACGUGAGUAACCUGCCCUUGACUUUGGGAUAACUUCAGGAAACUGGGGCUAAUACCGGAUAGGAGCUCCUGCUGCAUGGUGGGGGUUGGAAAGUUUCGGCGGUUGGGGAUGGACUCGCGGCUUAUCAGCUUGUUGGUGGGGUAGUGGCUUACCAAGGCUUUGACGGGUAGCCGGCCUGAGAGGGUGACCGGCCACAUUGGGACUGAGAUACGGCCCAGACUCCUACGGGAGGCAGCAGUGGGGAAUAUUGCACAAUGGGCGGAAGCCUGAUGCAGCAACGCCGCGUGCGGGAUGACGGCCUUCGGGUUGUAAACCGCUUUCGCCUGUGACGAAGCGUGAGUGACGGUAAUGGGUAAAGAAGCACCGGCUAACUACGUG
rnacentral:rRNA from 1 species